GUUGGCGAUGACGAGUCCAAAAUAGGACGAAAUGCUCGUCCUGAAU
rnacentral:hammerhead_ribozyme from 1 species